rnacentral:rRNA from 2 species
AUUGAACGCUGGCGGCAUGCCUUACACAUGCAAGUCGAACGGCAGCGCGGACUUCGGUCUGGCGGCGAGUGGCGAACGGGUGAGUAAUGUAUCGGAACGUACCAUUCAGUGGGGGAUAACGCAGCGAAAGUUGCGCUAAUACCGCAUAUUCUGUGCGCAGGAAAGCAGGGGAUCGCAAGACCUUGCGCUGAUUGAGCGGCCGAUAUCAGAUUAGCUAGUUGGUGAGGUAAAGGCUCACCAAGGCGACGAUCUGUAGCGGGUCUGAGAGGAUGAUCCGCCACACUGGAACUGAGACACGGUCCAGACUCCUACGGGAGGCAGCAGUGGGGAAUUUUGGACAAUGGGCGCAAGCCUGAUCCAGCCAUGCCGCGUGAGUGAAGAAGGCCUUCGGGUUGUAAAGCUCUUUCGGCCGGGAAGAAAUCGUAUGGGUUAAUACCCUGUGCGGAUGACGGUACCGGCAUAAGAAGCACCGGCUAACUACGUG